rnacentral:rRNA from 1 species
UACGAAGGGGGCUAGCGUUGCUCGGAAUUACUGGGCGUAAAGGGCGCGUAGGCGGACCGUUUAGUCAGAGGUGAAAGCCCAGGGCUCAACCUUGGAAUUGCCUUUGAUACUGGCUGUCUUGAGUCCGGGAGAGGUGAGUGGAACUGCGAGUGUAGAGGUGAAAUUCGUAGAUAUUCGCAAGAACACCAGUGGCGAAGGCGGCUCACUGGCCCGGUACUGACGCUGAGGUGCGAAAGCGUGGGGAGCAAACAGG